AAAGGAACGAGAGGAAGCCCUGAAAAAAGAAAAACUGUUGAAAAAGAAUGAGAUAGAAAAACUGCAAACGAAAUUCAGGAAGGAAAUGGAAAAUUCCCAGAAGAGGGCAGACAAACUUAAACAACAGAAAGACGAUAUAACAAAACAGAGGGACAGUGAAAUAAAGAACCUUAAGAAGCAGACAACUGACAAUAAGGCUUACAUAACAUCACUGCAGGAAAAGUUAUAUGAUAUAACUGUCAAGAUACUAGUUAUAUGACCCAGGAAAGUGCCUACGCCUUUAGUAUCUUGAACAAUGGUUUGGGUCCAAUCGCUAAGGUGACUAUGUCUUAGACUAGCUGACAAACGAUGUAGAAUGUCCUUUGUUAAAACGUAGAGCUGGUGAGACCAAGUAUCUCAUAUAUAGAAUUUUUCUCUGGCUACCUUGCCUAAACGAUUCGUGUACCAAUGAUUCGUAAAUGAUUUUAAUUAUGAGCUAGACAAUUUCAGGGAUCAGGCAAAUCACUAAAUGUUUCAAACUAACAAUCUUUAAUUAAAAAUGAUUAGCUCAAACUCCUAUAGGCUGGAGACUCUAUACUUGACUGGUCUUUUUGUUGAAGUUCCCGUCAGACAAUG